UUAAGUGACUAAGCGUACACGGUGGAUGCCUUGGCAGUCAGAGGCGAUGAAGGACGUGCUACCCUGCGAAAAGGGUUGGUGAGCUGGGAUGGAGCGCUAUAGCCAACCAUGUCCGAAUGGGGAAACCCACCUAAGAUAACUUAGGUAUCGUUAAGUGAAUACAUAGCUUAACGAGGCGAACCGGGAGAACUGAAACAUCUAAGUACCCCGAGGAAAAGAAAUCAACCGAGAUUCCGUUAGUAGCGGCGAGCGAACGCGGAGCAGCCCAGAGUCUGAAUCAGUGGAUGCGUUAGUGGAACGGAUUGGAAAGUCCGGCGAUACAGGGUGAUAGCCCCGUACACGAAGACGCAUUGCUGUGAGCUCGAUGAGUAGGACGGGACACGUGGUAUCCUGUUUGAAGAUGGGGGGACCAUCCUCCAAGGCUAAAUACUCCUGACUGACCGAUAGCGAACCAGUACCGUGAGGGAAAGGCGAAAAGAACCCCUGUGAGGGGAGUGAAAUAGAACCUGAAACCGUGUACGUACAAGCAGUGGGAGCACCUUCGUGGUGUGACUGCGUACCUUUUGUAUAAUGGGUCAGCGACUUACAUUUUGUAGCGAGGUUAACCGAAUAGGGGAGCCGUAGGGAAACCGAGUCUUAACUGGGCGAAUUAGUUGCAAGGUGUAGACCCGAAACCCGGUGAUCUAGCCAUGGGCAGGUUGAAGGUUGGGUAACACUAACUGGAGGACCGAACCGACUAAUGUUGAAAAAUUAGCGGAUGACUUGUGGCUGGGGGUGAAAGGCCAAUCAAACCGGGAGAUAGCUGGUUCUCCCCGAAAGCUAUUUAGGUAGCGCCUCGGACGAACACCUACGGGGGUAGAGCACUGUUAAGGCUAGGGGGUCAUCCCGACUUACCAACCCUUUGCAAACUCCGAAUACCGUAGAGUGCUAUCCGGGAGACACACGGCGGGUGCUAACGUCCGUCGUGAAGAGGGAAACAACCCAGACCGCCAGCUAAGGUCCCAAAGUCAUGGUUAAGUGGGAAACGAUGUGGGAAGGCUUAGACAGCUAGGAUGUUGGCUUAGAAGCAGCCAUCAUUUAAAGAAAGCGUAAUAGCUCACUAGUCGAGUCGGCCUGCGCGGAAGAUGUAACGGGGCUAAACCAUGCACCGAAGCUGCGGCAAUGACGCUUAGGCGUUAUUGGGUAGGGGAGCGUUCUGUAAGCGGUUGAAGGUGUACUGUGAGGUAUGCUGGACGUAUCAGAAGUGCGAAUGCUGACAUAAGUAACGAUAAAGCGGGUGAAAAGCCCGCUCGCCGGAAGACCAAGGGUUCCUGUUCAACGUUAAUCGGAGCAGGGUGAGUCGACCCCUAAGGCGAGGCUGAAAAGCGUAGUCGAUGGGAAACGGGUUAAUAUUCCCGUACUUGUGGUAACUGCGAAGGGGGGACGGAGAAAGUUAGGCUAUCCGGGCGACGGUUGUCCCGGUUUAAGCGUGAAGGUGGAAAGACUAGGCAAAUCCGGUCUUUCAUUAACACUGAGGCGUGAUGACGAAGCACUACGGUGCUGAAGUAGCUGAUACUACGCUUCCAGGAAAAGCCUCUAAGCAUCAGGUUACCAGAAAUCGUACCCCAAACCGACACAGGUGGUCAGGUAGAGAAUACUCAGGCGCUUGAGAGAACUCGGGUGAAGGAACUAGGCAAAAUGGUGCCGUAACUUCGGGAGAAGGCACGCUGACGGUAGGUGAAGUCCCUUGCGGAUGGAGCUGAAGUCAGUCGAAGAUACCAGCUGGCUGCAACUGUUUAUUAAAAACACAGCACUGUGCAAACACGAAAGUGGACGUAUACGGUGUGACGCCUGCCCGGUGCCGGAAGGUUAAUUGAUGGGGUUAGCGAAAGCGAAGCUCUUGAUCGAAGCCCCGGUAAACGGCGGCCGUAACUAUAACGGUCCUAAGGUAGCGAAAUUCCUUGUCGGGUAAGUUCCGACCUGCACGAAUGGCGUAAUGAUGGCCAGGCUGUCUCCACCCGAGACUCAGUGAAAUUGAAAUCGCUGUGAAGAUGCAGUGUACCCGCGGCAAGACGGAAAGACCCCGUGAACCUUACUAUAGCU
rnacentral:rRNA from 1 species